rnacentral:rRNA from 1 species
ACUCCUACGGGAGGCAGCAGUAGGGAAUCUUCCGCAAUGGACGAAAGUCUGACGGAGCAACGCCGCGUGAACGAUGAAGGUCUUCGGAUCGUAAAGUUCUGUUGUUAGGGAAGAACAAGUACCGUGCGAAUAGAGCGGUACCUUGACGGUACCUAACGAGGAAGCCCCGGCUAACUACGUGCCAGCAGCCGCGGUAAUACGUAGGGGGCAAGCGUUGUCCGGAAUUAUUGGGCGUAAAGCGCGCGCAGGCGGUUCCUUAAGUCUGAUGUGAAAGUCCACGGCUCAACCGUGGAGGGUCAUUGGAAACUGGGGAACUUGAGGACAG